AACCUAUUAGCUCAAAUGGUAGAGCAAUGUGUCAUUGCACAUGGGUGUAGGUUCAAAUCCUACAUAGGUUG
rfam:Spinacia oleracea cultivar SynViroflay scaffold71735.con0001.1, whole genome shotgun sequence.